GCUCAGGACGAACGCUGGCGGCGUGCCUAAUACAUGCAAGUCGAACGAACUCUGGUAUUGAUUGGUGCUUGCAUCAUGAUUUACAUUUGAGUGAGUGGCGAACUGGUGAGUAACACGUGGGAAACCUGCCCAGAAGCGGGGGAUAACACCUGGAAACAGAUGCUAAUACCGCAUAACAACUUGGACCGCAUGGUCCGAGUUUGAAAGAUGGCUUCGGCUAUCACUUUUGGAUGGUCCCGCGGCGUAUUAGCUAGAUGGUGNGGUAACGGCUCACCAUGGCAAUGAUACGUAGCCGACCUGAGAGGGUAAUCGGCCACAUUGGGACUGAGACACGGCCCAAACUCCUACGGGAGGCAGCAGUAGGGAAUCUUCCACAAUGGACGAAAGUCUGAUGGAGCAACGCCGCGUGAGUGAAGAAGGGUUUCGGCUCGUAAAACUCUGUUGUUAAAGAAGAACAUAUCUGAGAGUAACUGUUCAGGUAUUGACGGUAUUUAACCAGAAAGCCACGGCUAACUACGUGCCAGCAGCCGCGGUAAUACGUAGGUGGCAAGCGUUGUCCGGAUUUAUUGGGCGUAAAGCGAGCGCAGGCGGUUUUUUAAGUCUGAUGUGAAAGCCUUCGGCUCAACCGAAGAAGUGCAUCGGAAACUGGGAAACUUGAGUGCAGAAGAGGACAGUGGAACUCCAUGUGUAGCGGUGAAAUGCGUAGAUAUAUGGAAGAACACCAGUGGCGAAGGCGGCUGUCUGGUCUGUAACUGACGCUGAGGCUCGAAAGUAUGGGUAGCAAACAGGAUUAGAUACCCUGGUAGUCCAUACCGUAAACGAUGAAUGCUAAGUGUUGGAGGGUUUCCGCCCUUCAGUGCUGCAGCUAACGCAUUAAGCAUUCCGCCUGGGGAGUACGGCCGCAAGGCUGAAACUCAAAGGAAUUGACGGGGGCCCGCACAAGCGGUGGAGCAUGUGGUUUAAUUCGAAGCUACGCGAAGAACCUUACCAGGUCUUGACAUACUAUGCAAAUCUAAGAGAUUAGACGUUCCCUUCGGGGACAUGGAUACAGGUGGUGCAUGGUUGUCGUCAGCUCGUGUCGUGAGAUGUUGGGUUAAGUCCCGCAACGAGCGCAACCCUUAUUAUCAGUUGCCAGCAUUAAGUUGGGCACUCUGGUGAGACUGCCGGUGACAAACCGGAGGAAGGUGGGGAUGACGUCAAAUCAUCAUGCCCCUUAUGACCUGGGCUACACACGUGCUACAAUGGAUGGUACAACGAGUUGCGAACUCGCGAGAGUAAGCUAAUCUCUUAAAGCCAUUCUCAGUUCGGAUUGUAGGCUGCAACUCGCCUACAUGAAGUCGGAAUCGCUAGUAAUCGCGGAUCAGCAUGCCGCGGUGAAUACGUUCCCGGGCCUUGUACACACCGCCCGUCACACCAUGAGAGUUUGAACACCCAAAGUCGGUGGGGUAACC
rnacentral:rRNA from 2 species